CAAGUGCUACGGCAGCUGGUAAAGAUUUAAAACCAGCUGUCGUGGCACAAUCUUCACCCAAUGAUCCGGUUGAUGCCGCUUCUAUCACGUCCAGAGCUUCUUCGAUACCCGCCUUCCAAAUAGAACAGGAUUCUAAGGAUUAAUUUUUGGGAAAAAGUAAAGAGAUAUCUUACUCGUUUCGUAUCGAGAAUGCUCUCUGUGCUGGUAAUCGUAGAGAGGGACGGUACCGAGGUCGAGGUAGCCGUCGUUACAGUGAUGUACGCCAUCAUCGUCAUCGUCGCAGGAAACAGGGCCCAAAGCCAAGAUUUGCCCAUCCCGCGUACUGCUCAUUUGUACUUUGAAAUAAAUCUAUAAAUAAUUAAGUGCGUAUAAUUAAAGGUAAAAAAGAGUUUGAAUAGUGUAAUUAUUAAUAAUAUCAUUAAUAUAUAAU